GCUCUUUUCCAGGACAGAAGCCUCUCUGGACAGCCUUCUUUCUCUUCUCAGGCAAUUCCUUCUCCUUGGGUUUGUUUUGGAGCCUGAGUGGGGAGCGUGUCUACCUGAGUCGCCUUGGGCACGCUCUCUCCUGUCUUCACAUGUGAUGUAGGAACAGUGAAAGACCUUAGCUCAUGGGAAGGCUGGGAAAAUCCGAGGUAAGGACAGUCAGCAAAGACUGUUGCUUUGGCUCAGCCUAGGUGGAAUGCUCAGGACAUGAUGAGUUUUUAAGUGAUGAUUGACAGAGAACUGGGAUGUGGCUCAGUGGCGGUGUGCUUUCAUUCCCAGCAUCAAACAUGAUGACAGCGAUAACCACCAGGAUGGUGAUGACGACAACAACGAUGACGGUGGUGAUGAUGAUGACGACGAUGACGAUGACGACGACGAUGACGAUGAUGGUAGUGGUGCUGGCAACAACCCUUUUCAAAUGACCCUUGGACCAGCUCUGACCAAGCCUGGGUUGUGCUGUCAUCCUUCCUGCCCACCUGCAGGAGGCAUAGUGGAUCAUGGGAAGGUCGGGCCAGUUUGGGUAGAACAGCCCCUGGAUUCUAGAGUUGGGGCUUACAGCUUUGUGACUGUAUAAUUAAGAUGAACAUGUAGACCUUAAGGGGGAGACUGCAAAUUUUACCUAAGGUUUAAAGAUAAAAUACAGGGAUUCAGAAAA
rnacentral:lncRNA from 1 species